rnacentral:lncRNA from 1 species
CGCCGCGUCCCCAACGUCCGCCCGCAGCCACCGUCACCCGACGUGGGACAGAUGUCACCCCAUGGGCCACCAACGUCAUCCGGUGGGCCACCGACGUCACCCAACGGGCCGCCGUCGCUCUUGGGACAGAUGUCGCCUCACGGGCCGCCGGUGUCGCCCUAUGGGCUACCAGGCUCACCCAGCGGGCCACCGGUGUCAUCCAACGGGCCACCGUCGCUCUUGGGACAGAUGUCACUCAAUGGGCCACCAGCGUCACCCAGUGGGCCACCAGCGUCACCCAGCGGGCCACCGGUGUCAUCCAAUGGGCCACCGUUGCUCUUGGGACAGAUGUCACCCAAUGGGCCGCCGAUGUCACCCGGUGGACUACAAGUGUCACCGAAUGGGCCAGUGUCACCCAAUGGGCCACCGAUGUCACCCAGUGGGCCGUCGGUGUCAUCCAGCGGGCCACCAGUGCCACCCAACGGGCCAGUGUCACCCAGCAGGUCAUCAAUGCCACCCAACAGGUCAUCAAUGCCACCCAGUAGGCCAGUGUCACCCAGCGGGCCACCAGCGCCAUCCAACGGGCCACCAGUGUCACCCAACAGGUCAUCAACGUCACCCAACAGGCCGCACAGGCCACCAGUGCCACCCAAUGGGCCAAUGUCACCCAGUGGGCCACCAGUGUCACCCAACGGGUCACUGUCACCCAACGGGCCACCAACGUCACCCUACGGGUCAUCAACGUCACCCAACGGGCCACCAAUGCCACCCAACGGGCCAGUGCCACCUGACGGGCCACCGAUGUCACCCAAUGGGCCAAUGUCACCCAAUGGGCUGUCAGUGCCACCCAACGGGCCAACGCCAGCCCCGAGGAAGCCACCCCCAAUGGAACCGUGGCCACCAACAGUGCCACCAUCAGAGCUGCUGUCCCCAGGAGGUGUCCCCGUGGAUGUCCCCAUGGAUGUCCCCAUGGGUGUCCCCAUGGGUGUCCCCAAGGCCGAUGGUGGCCGGCGCAGCGCCCGCCACGGCCGCGCCAUGCUGAGCUCAUCCCUGCGCCCCACGGCUCCGCCCCACGGCACCGAGCAGCCCCACAUCCAGCAGCUGGACGGGGUGGACGAUGGGGACAAGGGACAGGGGGGACAAGGAGGUGACACCGAGGACCUCCCGUCCGACAUCGUGGAGUUCGUCCUGCGCAACAUGGCGGGCGCCAAAGGCGGCAUGGCGCCCGGCGCCAACGGGGACAGCGCCUGGGGGGCCGGAGGGGACGGCAGGGGACAAGCGGUGGGGACACGGGGUGGGGGUGGCGGGGGGGGCAGCCGGAGCCGUGGGGGUGGCACCCGUGGAGGUGACACCUGGAACCGUGGGGGUGGCACCCAAGGAGGUGUUGCUCAUGGAGAUGUCGCCAACGGAGGUGGCACCCGCGGAGAUGUCACCUGUGGAGGUGGCACCUGGAACGGUGGAGGUGGCGCCCAUGGGGAUGUCACCCAUGGAGGUGGCACCUGGAACCACGGAGGUGGCACCUGGAACCACGGAGGUGGCACCCAUGGAGAUGUCACCCAUGGAGGUGGCAUCUGGAGCCAUGGAGGUGUCACCCACGGAGGUGUCACCUGGAACCACGAAGAUGUCAACCAUGGGGAUGUCACCUGGGGGAGCGUCACCCGUGGAAAUGUCACCCAGAGCCACAGAGAUGUCACCUGGGGAGGUGCCUCCUGGGGUGAUGUCACCCACGGAGGUGUCACCCGUGGAGGUGCCACCCAGAACCAGGGAGAUGUCACCUGUGGAAGUGUCACCUGGGGAGACGUCACCCAGAACCACGUCGGUGAUGGGCACAGAACCGGUGGAGGUGUCACCCAUGGAGGUGUCACCCGUGGAGGUGUCACCCGUGGAGAUGUCACCCAUAACCACGUCACUGAUGGCCAUGGGGCCUGUGGAGGUGUCACCCAUCACGAUGUCACCCGUGGGACCACCGUGGAUGGCAGUGCCACCCACCUGAAUGGCACCCCGAGCUACGGCGAUGUCACCAAUGUCACCCAACACGGUGUCACCCAACAUGGCAUCACCCAACACGGCGUCACCCAUCAUGGUGUCACCCAACAUGGCGUCACCCAUCAUGGUGUCACCACCGUCACCCAUCACGGUGUCACCCAUCAUGGCAUCACCCAACAUGACAUCACCCAACAUGGCGUCACCCAUCACGGUGUCCCCCAUCACGGCGUCACCCAUCACGGUGUCACCCAUCACGGUGUCACCCAUCAUGGCGUCCCCUCCACGUCCCCAGAGGGGCCACCGAAGCGGCACGGUGAUCUGCCAGGACCUGGGGGCAAGAGGGCACGGCUGGAGGCCACCAGCAACGGGGACAGCGCGGCCACCGGGUGAGUGCCAGCGUCACACUUGGGCGCCCGCCAGACUGGGACCCUCCCAGUUGGGCGCCCGUUAUACUGGGACCCUCCCAGUUUGGUUCUCAUCACACCGGGAUCCGCCCAGUUGGGUGCUGUUCAUACUGGGACCAUCCCAGUUGGGCGCCCACCAUACUGGGACCAUUCCAGUUGGGUGCCCGUUAUACUGGGAUCCUCCCAGUUAGGUUCUCAUCAUACUGGGACCCUCCAGUUGGGUGCUGACCAUACUGGGACCCUCCCUGUUGGGUGUCCACCAUGCUGGGACCCUCCCAGUAGAGCACCCACCAUACUGGGACCCUCCCAGUUGGGGGCCCACCAUACUGGGACCCUCCCAGUUAGGUUCUCAUCAUACUGGGAUCCUCCCAGUUGGGUACUGACCAUACUGGGACCCUCCCAGUUGGGUGUCCACCAUACUGGGACCCUCCCAGUAGAGCAUCCACCAUACUGGGACCCUCCCAGUUGGAUGCCCACCAUACUGGGAUCAUCCCAGUUGGGCGCCCGUUAUACUGGGGCCCUCCCAGUUGGGUGCCCACCAUACUGGGACCAUCCCAGUUGGGUGCUGUUCAUACUGGGACCAUCCCAGUUGGGUACCCAUUAUACUGGGAUCAUCCCAGUUGGGCGCCCACUAGACUGGGGUCCUCCCAGUUGGGUGCUGUUCAUACUGGGACUCUUCCAGUUGGGUGCCCACCAUACUGGGACCCUCCCAGUUGGGCGCCCGUUAUACUGGGACCCUCCCAGUUAGGUUCUCAUCAUACUGGGACCGUCCCAGUUGUGUGCUGUUCAUACUGGGACCAUCCCAGUUGGGUGCCC